rnacentral:rRNA from 1 species
UCGACGCGAGGUUCCAAUCGCCCGUACCCCAAACCGACUCAGGUGGUCAGGUAGAGAAUACUAAGGAGAUCGAGAGAAUCGUGGUUAAGGAACUCGGCAAAAUGCCCCCGUAACUUCGGGAGAAGGGGGGCCUGAGGCGUGUAGGGAUUUACUCCUGAAGCGUUUGAAGGCCGCAGAGACCAGUGGGAAGCGACUGUUUACUAAAAACACAGGUCCGUGCUAAGUCGCAAGACGAUGUAUACGGACUGACGCCUGCCCGGUGCUGGAAGGUUAAGAGGAACGGUUAGCACGCAAGUGCGAAGCUGAGAAUUUAAGCCCCAGUAAACGGCGGUGGUAACUAUAACCAUCCUAAGGUAGCGAAAUUCCUUGUCGGGUAAGUUCCGACCUGCACGAAUGGCGUAACGACUUCCCAGCUGUCUCAACCGCGAACUCGGCGAAAUUGCACUACGAGUAAAGAUGCUCGUUACGCGCAGCAGGACGGAAAGACCCCGUGACCUUUACUACAGCUUGGUAUUGGUGUUCGGUGUGGCUUGUGUAGGAUAGGUGGGAGACUGUGAAGCUCGGACGCUAGUUCGGGUGGAGUCAUUGUUGAAAUACCACUCUGGUCACUCUGGAUAUCUAACUUCGAACCGUAAUCCGGUUCAGGGACAGUGCCUGGUGGGUAGUUUAACUGGGGCGGUUGCCUCCUAAAGAGUAACGGAGGCGCCCAAAGGUUCCCUCAACCUGGUUGGUAAUCAGGUGUCGAGUGUAAGUGCACAAGGGAGCUUGACUGUGAGACUGACAAGUCGAGCAGGGACGAAAGUCGGGACUAGUGAUCCGGCAGUGGCUUGUGGAAGCGCUGUCGCUCAACGGAUAAAAGGUACCUCGGGGAUAACAGGCUGAUCUUGCCCAAGAGUCCAUAUCGACGGCAUGGUUUGGCACCUCGAUGUCGGCUCGUCGCAUCCUGGGGCUGGAGUAGGUCCCAAGGGUUGGGCUGUUCGCCCAUUAAAGCGGUACGCGAGCUGGGUUUAGAACGUCGUGAGACAGUUCGGUCCCUAUCCGCUGCGCGCGUAGGAAAUUUGAGAAGAUCUAUCCCUAGUACGAGAGGACCGGGAUGGACGAACCUCUGGUGUGUCAGUUGUUCCGCCAGGAGCACCGCUGAUUAGCUACGUUCGGAACGGAUAACCGCUGAAAGCAUCUAAGCGGGAAGCCGGCUUCGAGAUGAGAUUUCCAUCCCUUUUAGGGUGAAGGCUCCCGGCUAGACUACCGGGUUGAUAGGCAGGAUGUGGAAGCGAGGACUAAAGACUCGUGGAGCUGACCUGUACUAAUAAGCCGAUAUCUUGAAAAC